rnacentral:rRNA from 1 species
UACGGAGGGUGCAAGCGUUAAUCGGAAUUACUGGGCGUAAAGGGCUCGUAGGCGGUCUGUUGCGUCGGGAGUGAAAACUCAGGGCUUAACCCUGAGCCUGCUUCCGAUACGGGCAGACUAGAGGUAUGCAGGGGAGAACGGAAUUCCUGGUGUAGCGGUGAAAUGCGCAGAUAUCAGGAGGAACACCGGUGGCGAAGGCGGGUU